rnacentral:rRNA from 1 species
UACGGGAGGCAGCAGUGGGGAAUAUUGCACAAUGGGCGCAAGCCUGAUGCAGCCAUGCCGCGUGUAUGAAGAAGGCCUUCGGGUUGUAAAGUACUUUCAGUCGUGAGGAAGGUGUUAAGGUUAAUAACCUUAGCAAUUGACGUUAGCGACAGAAGAAGCACCGGCUAACUCCGUGCCAGCAGCCGCGGUAAUACGGAGGGUGCGAGCGUUAAUCGGAAUUACUGGGCGUAAAGGGCACGCAGGCGGUUAAUUAAGUUGGAUGUGAAUCCCCGGGCUUAACCUGGGAAUGGCAUUCAAGACUGGUUAGCUAGAGUCUUGUAGAGGGGGUAGAAUUCCAUGUGUAGCGGUGAAAUGCGUAGAGAUGUGGAGGAAUACCGGUGGCGAAGGCGGCCCCUGGGACAAAGACUGACGCUCAUGUGCGAAAGCGUGGGGAGCGAAACAGGGAUUAGAU